GUAAGGUUCAGCUUCAAAGUCUCGAACAACACUGCUGAAUAUGAGGCACUUCUAGUAGGCCUUAGACUGGCAAAAGAAAUGCAGGUCAGAAGGCUCCUAGCGAGCAGCGAUUCUCAGCUUGUAGUGAGUCAGGUCAAUGGAAACUUCGCGGCCAAAAAUAGUAGCAUGGUUGCAUACUUGAAAUUGAUUCUGGACCUAGUUCCUCAUUUUGAAAAGUUCAAGCUAAUUCAAGUCCCACGUCUAGAGAAUACUCAUGCAGACGCCCUGUCGAAAUUGGCCAGUAGUAGGGAUUCAGAGCUACUAAAGGUUGUCCCCAUUGAACACUAAUCAAACCCCUCCAUUUUCGGAGGUGAAGAGGUGUUAUGGAUAGAAGGCACCCCAUUAUGGAUGCAGCCCAUCAUCGCCUACCUUAAGGACCAAUCACUACCAGCUUCCAGAAGCGAGGCUAGGAAGUUAAAAAUGAGGGUUGCACACUUCGUCCUACAAGAAUAUGUCAUCUACAAAAAAGGUUUCGCCUCGCCACUUCUCCGAUGUGUAGGAAGCGAAGAGGCUAUGUACAUACUCAGGAAAAUCCAUGAGGGAAUCUGUGGGAAUCACUCCGGAGGAACGGCUCUGGCACACAAAGUACUCCGGUAAGACUACUUUUGGCCGACUCCGAAAAUUAAUGCUUGUCAGUUUGUCCAGAAAUGUGACAAGUGUCAGCGCUUUUCAAAUAUUCAAAGGCAACCUUCUCAGAGCCUCUCCAUAGUGACCAGCCCUUGGCUGUUCACCAAAUGGGACAUCGACUUCAUUGGUCCACUCCUAAAAGGAAGAGGAAGCGCGACUUUUGCCAUUGUCGCCGUCAAUUGUUUCACCAAGUGGGUCGAAGCUGAACCUCUUGCCAAGAUCACCGAGGCGAAUACCACCAAAAUCGUCUGGAAGAACAUCAUUUGCAGGUUCGACAUUCCCUACUCCUUAGUAUCUGACAACGGGAGACAUUUCGACAACAAGAAAAUGUGAGACUUAUGCGACGAACUGGGCAUAAAAAAUGACUUCUCCACGCCUCAUCACCCACAAGCAAAUGGGCAAGUUGAGGCAGUAAACAAAACAAUCAAGCAUACCCUGAAAUGGAAGCUUGACACCUUAAAAGGGGCUUGGGUCAAUGAGCUUCUCCACGUCUUCUGGGCCAUCAGAACAACUAGCCAAACUGCAAUGUGGGGGACACCCUUCUCCAUGACCUACAGAACCGAGGCCAUGAGCCCGAUUGAGGUAAGAGUCCCAUCGCACCGCCGAAUACACUUCAAUGAGAUCAGUAACGACGAGUCUCGAAUGAGCGAACUCCACCUCCUUGAAGAAAGGAGGGAUGCCUUUCAGGUGAACUUGGCGAAGUAUCAUAGAAAGAUGACCCUCUAUUAUAACUCCAAUGUUAGAAAUCAGACUCUUCGUCUGGGGGACCUCAUCCUUAGAAAGGUCUUCCAAUCAUUAAAGCCAACUGGGUCUGGAGUGUUGUGACCAAACUGGAAGGGUCCUUACUGCAUCCACAAGGAAUCCUGACCUGGUACUUUUGAAAUUGAAGACAUGGCAGGGAGAGCACUGCCUCAUCAAUGGAACGUCGAACAUUUGAGGAAGUACUAUCAACAAUGAGCUUGUGUUCCGAUCCGAUCUCAAUGAUGUCUAGUAAAUGUGUGUCAUGGUCUGAUCUCAUUUGUAACUUCCUUACCUUACUAAGUGCUGAAAAAUGCCUUAGUGAAGAGUGAUGUAAUUCCUCUUAAGUGAUGAUAUUUCAGUUGUUUGUCACAUCGGUUAACAAAUUGUUACCUCAGUUCUUCAAUAUGUUAAUUGACCCGAUCUUCUGUUAUUAACUGGUUAUUGGUAAGAGGCGCUUAAGUGGUUGUCAUUCAUAUACUUAAGGGUAAACAACUCAACACAAUGAAAAAGCAGAAGCAACAAUACUUGUACAAAAAACUUCAUUUUCAUUCAUUUGGAAUUGGAUUACAAGAGGCCGAAGCCAUUACAAAAAUUGAUAAACUCUAUCCUACUGGGGCAUCUCCCACUCCGGGCUCCGCCUCGCCUACCCCAGGGGCCUCUGGAACGUCGUCGACGAACUUAUCAGGCCGAUCUCCAGUAGGCCCGUCGAACUUUGCUUCUAACGAGGAUAUGUCCAGAGUAGGAUGGAACUCUUUCAGCCGACCCAAUAUUUCUUGGGCACUCCAGGAAGCCUAGAAGUUUUCAAAGUCGUCAUAUAGGGGGUACUCUUCAAAGUGGUUGAUGAAGUUCUAUACAGCCACCUCCCCUGCCGACUUCAGCUCCUCCUUCAGAGAGGCGAUUUCCUUAGCUUGGGCAUCCGCCAUCUGCCUCAGCUCCGCCUUUUCUUUAUUGGAGGCCUCCAAAGCCUCCGUGGAGAGCCGGUGGUGCUCGUUUACAUGAUCAACUCUGUGGGUCAUAGCAGCCACUUGGCACUCCACUUCUUAGAGCUCCUUCUUCAGCCGCUCUAUGUCCCUCCUGACAGUCCCCAGCUGGGCCUCAGCCUCUUUCCUUCCUCUCUCUUCAUCUUCGGCCUUAGUCCGAGCCUCCCUCACUGCAUCACCAUAGUAAAUCGCCUCCUCAAGGCGCUUGGCAAGGUCCUCUCUCUUAGCAUUGAGGUCUUUCACCAAACCCUCAAGUUGGAUGCUUGUGCUUAAGGCCCAGGCCACACAAGCACUGUUGGCCGCAACCAAGUCCUCGACAGUGCAAGAAGCGGUGUGGUCUCUCUAUUCCUCGGUCCAAUACUCAUUGUGGACCACCGUAACCAUCUCUGGAGGAAGAGCCUCCAGCACUUCUUUCACUGGCUCCUCUGGAUUGGUCCCCAAGAAGUCCACCUCCUUCGAAGGACAAGCCUUCUUCCUCUAUGGCUGCCCGGCACUUAAGCAAUGGGCAUAGCAGCCACUGGCGAUGCGGUCAGGCAGAAGAAGCCUCUAAUGGCACAAGCAUCUUCUCCGAAAUGACCACCCCGAUAGGGAUUGUAGUCUGCCUCAGAGCCGGAGGCGGCCUCGCCACAGUUUUGCGCCUCGAGGGGGCAGCAGGCUUCUUACCCUUCCGCAACAGAUUUGCAUUGGGGUCCUCCGCCACUUCCUCCUCGGUCGGAGGCUGGAGCCUUUUGCUGGCCUCCACCAGAUCUUCCAUCUGCUUUUUGUACGCAAAUGAUGAGGUCUUUAGGGCUCUCGCCUCCGCCAUCAUCCUUUGGAUGGUUUUAAAGUCUGGCCUCAGAGGCAGCUUCUUGUUAAAGUUAUCUACAAGGGAAC
rnacentral:lncRNA from 1 species